GGAUUAGAUACCCUGGUAGUCCAUGCCGUAAACGGUGGGCGCUAGGUGUAGGGGACUUCCACGUCUUCUGUGCCGCAGCUAACGCAUUAAGCGCCCCGCCUGGGGAGUACGGCCGCAAGGCUAAAACUCAAAGGAAUUGACGGGGGCCCGCACAAGCGGCGGAGCAUGUGGAUUAAUUCGAUGCAACGCGAAGAACCUUACCUGGGCUUGACAUAUACCGGAUCGGCGUAGAGAUACGUUUUCCCUUGUGGUCGGUAUACAGGUGGUGCAUGGUUGUCGUCAGCUCGUGCCG
rnacentral:rRNA from 1 species